GAGAAGGGGGAGGAGGGAGAAUUGAAUUGACUUUAUUACUUACAUCCUUCACGUACAUGAAGGAUGUAAAAUUAAAAAAUCUUUGUCUCUAUCUAAAUUUGCCAUUUAUAGUAAUGUGUAAUAAAUAGUAUGUUUAGCAGAACAAUCAGUAUAACAUAGAAAUACAAAUGUAUCAGCAUGAAUUAAUCAGUCUGAUGGCCUGGUGGAAGAAGCUGUCCCGGAGCCUGUUGGUCCUGGCUUUUCUGCUACUGUACCAUUUCCCGGAUGGUAGCAGCUGGAACAGUUUGUGGUUGGGGUGACUCGGGUCCCCAGUGAUCCUUCGGACCCUUUUUAAACACCUGUCCUUGUAAAUGUCGAAUAGUGGGAAGUUCACCUCUACAGAUGCGCUGGGUUGUCCACACCACUCUCUGCAGAGUCCUGCGAUUGAGGGAAGUACAGUUCCCAUACCAGGCAGUGAUGCAGCCAGUCAGGAUGCUCUCAAUUGUGCCCCUGUAGAAAGGCCUUAGGAUUUGGGAGGCCCAUACCAAACUUGUUCAAUCCUCUGAGGUGAAAGAGGCGCUGUUGUGCCUUUUUCAUCACACAGCUGGUGUGUACAGAACAAGUGAGAUCCUCGGUGAUGUUUAUGCUGAGGAACAUAAAGCUGUUCACCCUCUCAACCCCAGAUCCAUUGAUGUCAAUGGGGUUACCCUGUCUCCAUUCCUCCUGUAAUCCACAACCAGCCCCUUUGUUUUUGCGCCAUUGAGGGAGAGGUUGUUUUCUCAACACCACUAUGUCAGGGAGAUGACUUCCUCUCUGUAGGCCUCCUCGUUAUUGUUUGAAAUUAGGCCAAUCAGUGUAGUGUCGUCAGCAAAUUUAAUUAGACUGGAGCUGUGGGUGGCGACACAGUCAUGGGUAUACAGAGAGUAAAGGAGGGGGCUUAGUACUCAGCCCCGAGUGGCACCUCUGUUGAGGGUCAGGGGGGCGGAGGUGAGGGAGCCCACUCUUACCACCUGCCAGUGAUCUGACAGGAAAUCCAGGAUCCAGCUACACAAGGCAGGAUGAAGGCCGAGGUCUCUGAGCUUCUUGUUGAGCCUGGAGGGAAUUAUGGUGUUGAAUGCUGAACUGUAGUCCAAGAACAGCAUUCUCACAUAAGCAUCCCUCUUCUCCAGAUGUGUAAGGACGGUGUGUAAAGCUGUGGCUAUUGCGUCAUCUGUCGAUCGGUUGUGUCGGUAGGUGAAUUGUAGGGGGUCCAGUUUGGGUGGUAGCAUGCAGCAGAUGUAAUCCUUGACCAGCCUCUCAAAGCAUUUGCUUAUUAUUGAGACUGUAGGAGGGAACUGGAGCAUCCGGGGAGAUGCCCCACAUUCCAUGGGGAGGACGUACGGAGAACGGCGCUGGGACUGAGCUCCAAACUCUGAGCAGUAAUACCAUCGUGCUGUCUGUUAAAGGAGGCCGAGUGUACUGUCACCAGAGAGUUGCAGCAAGAUUGUACAGCAGCUCCCCUUACAAUUAAAUCAGCAUGCCAUUUGCUCUCUG